GUACCGCUUUGGCGGUACAUAUACUAAAAUUGGAACGAUACAGAGAAGAUUAGCAUGGACCCUGCGCAAGGGUGACACGUUACAAAAAAAAAAAAAGAGAAAAGAA